UACGUAGGGACCAAGCGUUGUUCGGAUUUACUGGGCGUAAAGGGCGCGUAGGCGGCGUGGUAAGUCACUUGUGAAAUCUCUGAGCUUAACUCAGAACGGCCAAGUGAUACUGCUGUGCUAGAGUGCAGAAGGGGCAAUCGGAAUUCUUGGUGUAGCGGUGAAAUGCGUAGAUAUCGUAAGGAAGACCAGUGGCGAAGGCGAAUCUCUGGACAGUUACUGACACUGAGGCACGAAGGCCAGGGGAGCAAACGGG
rnacentral:rRNA from 1 species